rnacentral:rRNA from 1 species
AGCAGCCGCGGUAAUUCCAGCUCCAAUAGCGUAUAUUAAAGUUGCUGCAGUUAAAAAGCUCGUAGUUGAAUUUCGGGACUAAUAUGUUGGUCGUGCCUCGGUACGUACUGAUAUUUUUGGUUUUUCCCUUCUGACGAACCUUGAUGUCAUUAAUUUGGUGUCUUGGGAAAUCAGGACUGUUACUUUGAAAAAUUAGAGUGUUUAAAGCAGGCUCACGCUUGAAUACAUUAGCAUGGAAUAAUGAAAUAGGACGUUUGAUUCUAUUUUGUUGGUUUCUAGGAUUGACGUAAUGAUUAAUAGGGAUAGUUGGGGGCGAUUAGUAUUCAAUUGUCAGAGGUGAAAUUCUUGGAUUUAUUGAAGACUAACUACUGCGAAAGCAUUUGCCAAGGAUGUUUUCAUUAAUCAAGAACGAAAGUUAGGGGAUCGAAGACGAUCAGAUACCGUCGUAGUCUUAACCAUAAACUAUGCCGACUAGGGAUCGGAUGAUGUUAAUUUUUUUCAAUGGCUCAUUCGGCGCCUU